AUUGAACGCUGGCGUCCUGCUUCACACACGCCAGUCUAACUGCCUCAUUGUCUAGCUUUCUAUACUUAUUUCCCGUCGCUUACUUUUUUUUCACGCUUCUUCAUCUCCCUUAGAGAGGUUUCUCCCAUGGUGUCUCUCAUUCUACUACCGCAUCCGUUCUCUGGCAUCAAGCUGUUUACCUUCUGUCCUUUCUCUUUUCGCCUAUCCUGCGUCCGAUUAGCUAGUUGGUAGGGUAAAGGCCUACCACGGCGACGAUCGGUAGCUGGUCUGGGAGGAUGAUCAGCCACACUGGGACUGAGACACGGCCCAGACUCCGACGGGAGGCAGCAGUGGGGAAUAUUGGACAAUGGGGGGAACCCUGAUCCAGCAAUGCCGCGGGUGUGAAGAAGGCCUGAGGGUUGUAAAGCACUUUCAGGGGGGAGGAGGAUUGACGGGUUAAGAGCCAGGUAAUUGGACGUGACCCACAGAAGAAGCACCGGCUAACUCCGGGCCAGCAGCCGCAGUAA
rnacentral:rRNA from 1 species